rnacentral:ncRNA from 1 species
GAGUUUGAUCCUGGCUCAGGACGAACGCUGGCGGCGCGCCUAACACAUGCAAGUCGAACGGAGUUAUUUCGGUUGAAGUUUUCGGAUGGAUACUGGUUUAACUUAGUGGCGAACGGGUGAGUAACGCGUGAGUAACCUGCCCUGGAGUGGGGGACAACAGUUGGAAACGACUGCUAAUACCGCAUAAGCCCACGAUCCGGCAUCGGAUUGAGGGAAAAGGAUUUAUUCGCUUCAGGAUGGACUCGCGUCCAAUUAGCUAGUUGGUGAGGUAACGGCCCACCAAGGCGACGAUUGGUAGCCGGACUGAGAGGUUGAACGGCCACAUUGGGACUGAGACACGGCCCAGACUCCUACGGGAGGCAGCAGUGGGGGAUAUUGCACAAUGGGGGAAACCCUGAUGCAGCGACGCCGCGUGGAGGAAGAAGGUUUUCGGAUUGUAAACUCCUGUCGUUAGGGACGAAUCUUGACGGUACCUAACAAGAAAGCACCGGCUAACUACGUGCCAGCAGCCGCGGUAAAACGUAGGGUGCAAGCGUUGUCC